rnacentral:rRNA from 1 species
GAUGAACGCUGGCGGCGUGCCUAAUACAUGCAAGUCGAGCGAACAGACGAGGAGCUUGCUCCUCUGACGUUAGCGGCGGACAGGGGAGUAACACGUGGAUAACCAACUUAUAAGACUGGGUUAAUUUCGGGAAACCGGAGCUAAUACCGGAUAAUAUUUUGAACCUCUUGGUUCAUUAGUCAAGGACGGUUUUGCUGUCACUGAUGGAUGGAUCCGCGCCGCAUUAGCUAGUUGGUAAGGUAACGGCUUACCAAGGCAACGAUGCGUAGCCGACCUGAGAGGGUGGGCGGCCACACUGGAACUGAGACACGGUCCAGACUCCUACGGGAGGCAGCAGUAGGGAAUCUUCCGCGAUGGGCGAAAGCCUGACGGAGCAACGCCGCGUGAGUGAUGAAGGUCUUCGGAUCGUAAAACUCUGUUAUUAGGGAAGAACAAAUGUGUAAGUAACUAGGCACGUCUUGAAGGUACCUAAUCAGAAAGCCACGGCUAACUACGUG